AAGCCCUUCGGGGUGGAUUAGCGGCGGACGGGUGAGUAACACGUGGGUAACCUGCCUUAUAGAGGGGGAUAGCCUUCCGAAAGGAAGAUUAAUACCGCAUAACAUGUUUUUACUGCAUGGUAGAAACAUCAAAGGAGCAAUCCGCUAUAAGAUGGACCCGCGGCGCAUUAGCUAGUUGGUGAGGUAACGGCUCACCAAGGCGACGAUGCGUAGCCGACCUGAGAGGGUGAUCGGCCACAUUGGAACUGAGACACGGUCCAGACUCCUACGGGAGGCAGCAGUGGGGAAUAUUGCGCAAUGGGGGAAACCCUGACGCAGCAACGCCGCGUGAAUGAAGAAGGCCUUAGGG
rnacentral:rRNA from 1 species